UAGGGAAUCUUCCGCAAUGGACGCAAGUCUGACGGAGCAACGCCGCGUGAGUGAGGAAGGCCUUCGGGUCGUAAAGCUCUGUUGCCAGGGAAGAAUGCUUGGGGGAGUAACUGCCCUCAAGUUGACGGUACCUGAGAAGAAAGCCCCGGCUAACUACGUGCCAGCAGCCGCGGUAAUACGUAGGGGGCAAGCGUUGUCCGGAAUUAUUGGGCGUAAAGCGCGCGCAGGCGGUUUUGUAAGUCUGGUGUUUAAACUGGGGGCUCAACCUCCAGUCGCAUUGGAAACUGCAAGGCUUGAGUACAGAAGAGGAAAGUGGAAUUCCACGUGUAGCGGUGAAAUGCGUAGAGAUGUGGAGGAACACCAGUGGCGAAGGCGACUUUCUGGGCUGUAACUGACGCUGAGGCGCGAAAGCGUGGGGAGCAAACAG
rnacentral:rRNA from 1 species